rnacentral:rRNA from 1 species
GACGAACCGUGCAAACGUUGUUCGGAAUCACUGGGCAUAAAGGGCGCGUAGGCGGCCCGACCAGUCUGCGGUGAAAGCCCCCCGCUCAACGGGGGAAGGGCCGUGGAUACUGUCGGGCUCGAGGGAGACAGGGGCAGGUGGAACUUCCGGUGGAGCGGUGAAAUGCGUUGAGAUCGGAAGGAACUCCGGUGGCGAAAGCGGCCUGCUGGAUCUCUACUGACGCUGAGGCGCGAAAAGCCAGGGGAGCCAAACGGGG